rnacentral:rRNA from 1 species
GACGUAGGGCGCGAGCGUUGUCCGGAUUAUUGGGCGUAAAGAGCUCGUAGGCGGCUUGUCGCGUCAACUGUGAAACCCGUGGCUCAACCAUGUGGUCUGCAGUCGAUACGGGCAGGCUAGAAUUCGGUAGGGGAGACUGGAAUUCCUGGUGUAGCGGUGAAAUGCGCAGAUAUCAGGAGGAACACCGGUGGCGAAGGCGGGUCUCUGGGCCGAUAUUGACGCUGAGGAGCGAAAGCGUGGGAGCGAACAGG